UACGGAGGGUGCGAGCGUUGUCCGGAAUCAUUGGGCGUAAAGGGCGCGUAGGUGGCGCAGCAAGCGUGCGGUGAAAGCUCGGGGCUCAACCCCGAGUCGGCCCGUGCGAACUGCUGGGCUCGAGCACUGUAGAGGCAGGCGGAAUUCCAGGUGUAGCGGUGAAAUGCGUAGAUAUCUGGAGGAAUACCGGUGGCGAAGGCGGCAUCCUGGACCGGCAUUGACGCUGAUGAGCGAAAGCUAGGGGAGCAAACGGG
rnacentral:rRNA from 1 species